GAGUUUGAUCCUGGCUCAGAUUGAACGCUGGCGGCAGGCCUAACACAUGCAAGUCGAACGGUAACAGGACGCUAGGAUUCCUUCGGGAUGAUGCUCUGGCUGACGAGUGGCGGACGGGUGAGUAACGCGUAGGAAUCUACCCAGUAGUGGGGGACAACUUGGGGAAACUCAAGCUAAUACCGCAUACGCCCUACGGGGGAAAGCGGGGGACCUUCGGGCCUCGUGCUAUUGGAUGAGCCUGCGUUAGAUUAGCUAGUUGGUAGGGUAAAGGCCUACCAAGGCUACGAUCUAUAGCUGGUCUGAGAGGAUGAUCAGCCACACUGGAACUGAGACACGGUCCAGACUCCUACGGGAGGCAGCAGUGGGGAAUAUUGCACAAUGGGCGCAAGCCUGAUGCAGCCAUGCCGCGUGUGUGAAGAAGGCUCUAGGGUUGUAAAGCACUUUAAGCAGGGAGGAAGGCCAGUUAGUUAAUAUCUGACUGGAUUGACGUUACCUGCAGAAUAAGCACCGGCUAACUCCGUGCCAGCAGCCGCGGUAAUACGGAGGGUGCAAGCGUUAAUCGGAAUUACUGGGCGUAAAGCGCGCGUAGGCGGUAUUGUAAGUGGGAUGUGAAAGCCCCAGGCUCAACCUGGGAACUGAGUAGACCGCCUGGGGAGUACGGCCGCAAGGUUAAAACUCAAAUGAAUUGACGGGGGCCCGCACAAGCGGUGGAGCAUGUGGUUUAAUUCGAUGCAACGCGAAGAACCUUACCAGGUCUUGACAUCCUCAGAACUUUCCAGAGAUGGAUUGGUGCCUUCGGGAACUGAGUGACAGGUGCUGCAUGGCUGUCGUCAGCUCGUGUCGUGAGAUGUUGGGUUAAGUCCCGUAACGAGCGCAACCCUUAUCCUUAUUUGCCAGCGUAAUGGUGGGGACUCAUGGGAGACUGCCGGGGACAACUCGGAGGAAGGCGAGGACGAUGUCAAGUCAUCAUGCCCCUUAUAUCCAGGGCUGCACGCAUGCUACAAUGGGCGGUACAGUGGGCCGCGAUCUCGCAAGAGUGAGCCAAUCCCUCAAAGCCGUCCCCAGUUCGGAUUGAAGUCUGCAACUCGACUUCAUGAAGCCGGAGUCGCUAGUAAUCGUGGAUCAGCAAUGCCACGGUGAAUACGUUCUCGGGGCUUGUACACACCGCCCGUCACAUCACGGAAGUCGGUAACACCCGAAGUCAGUGGCCUAACCCCUCGGGGAAGGAGCUGCCUAAGGUGGGAUUGGUAACUGGGAUGAAGUCGUAACAAGGUAGCCGUACGGGAACGUGCGGCUGGAUCACCUCCUUU
rnacentral:rRNA from 1 species